AGCACACAAACCAUUUUAGAUAACAGCUUGUAAAAGUUGGGAAAGCAGUUUCCUGUCAAAUGAAUCAGAAAUAGAUCACUGAAAAACUAGCCUGGUGAGGGCCGGCAGAGGAGUCGCUGACAAAGAGUUAUUCUACUUCACUCAAGGCUCCAGUUUCUCUUCAUUUUUUCUCACGCCGAAAAGAGUAAGACUUAUGCACUGCCUUUCUUCUCUCACUUCCCUGAAAGCCCAUGGACAGCGUGCUGCUCCUUCUGGAGCUGAAGGAAAGAGGGUUCACACAGAAAAAAGGAACCAGAUGCAGAAGCAGAACAUGAGAGUGGACGUGGAACAUGACCACUGAAGCACAGCACCACAGAAAGACAAUUAAGCCCCUGGAUGUCUGCGGGCCUCCCUGACAGCCACCAGGCCACCACAAGAGCUCAGAGGAGCGGAGUUUUCUCCUCACUCCCCCGAGGAAGGAGAUAUCUUGGCCAUCUUGGACGUCUCCUUCCCUAGCUGGCUAAACAGGCACCAAGCAUGGCAGGAGGACUGCUCAAGCCCAAGAGUUUGAAACCAGUCUGGGAAACAUGGCAAGACCCUGUCUCUACAAAAAAUAAAAAUUCGGUGGGCUUGAUGGCACAUGCCUGGAGUCCUAGCUACUCAGGAGGCUGAGGGGAAGGAUCGCGUGAGCCCAGGAGGAACAAGCUGCAGUGAACCAUGAUCACGCCACUACACUCCAACUUGGGUGACAGAACAAGCAAGUCCCUGUCUCAAAAAAUAAUAGUAAAUUUUUACCAUCUAACAAGCAAUACAUAUUACUUGUUAUUCUCUGUCUACACCUACAGAGUAAGCCCCCUAAGGGGAGGGGUUUUGUCACGUUAAUCACUGUUGUAUAUCACCUGUAUCUAAGUGGCACAUAGUGUGCAUUCAGUAAACACCAGCUAAAUAAAAAAAGGAAGAGGGAAGGGAGAAAG